GAAGGUAAUAGUCCUGUAUGUUAAACGAAAAGACUUUAGAUAUGAUCCAGAGUACCACGGGACACGUGAAACCCUGUGGGAAGCAGGAGGGACCACCCUCCAAGGCUAAAUACUACCUAGUGACCGAUAGCGUAUAGUACCGUGAGGGAAAGGUGAAAAGAACCCCGGGAGGGGAGUGAAAUAGAACCUGAAACCCUGCACUUACAAGCUGUGGAAGCACAUUUCUUGUGUGACCGCGUACUUUUUGUAGAACGGGCCAACGAGUUACGUUAAGUAGCAAGGUUAAGCACUUAAGGUGCGGAGCCGUAGCGAAAGCGAGUUUUAACUGAGCGUUCAGUUACUUGACGUAGACCCGAAACCGGGCGACCUACCCAUGAGCAGGAUGAAGCGAAAGUAAAAUUUCGUGGAGGUCCGAACCCACGAGCGUUGAAAAGCUCGGGGAUGACUUGUGGGUAGCGGUGAAAUUCCAAUCGAGCCCGGAGAUAGCUGGUUCUCCCCGAAAUAGCUUUAGGGCUAGCCUCAAGGUGAGAGAUACGGAGGUAGAGCACUGAAUGUCCUAGGGGGUAUUGCACCUACCGAAGACUAUCAAACUCCGAAUGCCGUCAUCUUAUACUUGGGAGUCAGACUGUGGGUGAUAAGAUUCAUAGUCGAAAGGGCAACAGCCCAGAUCGUCAGCUAAGGUCCCUAAAUGUAAGUUAAGUGGUAAAGGAUGUGGGAUUGCACAGACAACCAGGAUGUUGGCUUAGAAGCAGCCACUCAUUCAAAGAGUGCGUAAUAGCUCACUGGUCGAGUGAUCCUGCGCCGAAGAUUUCCGGGGCUAAAACUUACUACCGAAGCUACGGCAUCAGUAAUGAUGGGUAGGGGAGCUUCCCAUACGGGUUGAAGCAUGACCGUAAGGACAUGUGGACAGUAUGGGAGUGAGAAUGUUGGCAUGAGUAGCGAGAUGUGGGUGAGAAUCCCACAGGCCGUAAACCCAAGGUUUCCAGGGGAAGGUUCGUCCGCCCUGGGUUAGUCGGGACCUAAGCUGAGGCCGAAAGGCGUAGGUGAUGGACAACAGGUUGAUAUUCCUGUACUACCGAUAACCGUUUGAGAGAUGGGAUGACACAGUAGGAUAAGCUAAGCACACUGUUGGUUAUGUGUGCCCAAGCAUUGAGGCAGUCAAAGUAGGUAAAUCCGCUUUGAUAAUGCUGGGAUGUGAUGGGGAGCGAAAUUUAGUAGCGAAGUAGCUGAUUUCACACUGUCAAGAAAAGUCUCUAUCGAGGUUAAAGGUACCCGUACCGCAAACCGACACAGGUGGGUGAGGAGAGUAUCCUAAGGCCAGCGAGAGAACUGUUGUUAAGGAACUCGGCAAAAUGACCCCGUAACUUAGGGAUAAGGGGUGCCACCAUCAGGUGGCCGCAGAGAAUAGGCCCAAGCGACUGUUUACCAAAAACAUAGGUUUCUGCUAAGUCGCAAGACGAUGUAUAGGAGCUGACGCCUGCCCGGUGCUGGAAGGUUAAGGGGAUCUGUUAGAGCAAUCGAAGCAGUGAACUUAAGCCCCAGUAAACGGCGGCCGUAACUAUAACGGUCCUAAGGUAGCGAAAUUCCUUGUCGGGUAAGUUCCGACCCGCACGAAAGGCGUAACGAUUUGGGCACUGUCUCAACAACAGACUCGGUGAAAUUGUAAUUCCGGUGAAGAUGCCGGAUACCUGCGACAGGACGGAAAGACCCCAUGGAGCUUUACUGUAGCUUGACAUUGGGUCUUGGUACUACAUGUACAGGAUAGGUGGGAGGCUUUGAAACCAGGACGCCAGUUUUGGCGGAGCCAUCCUUGGGAUACCACCCUUGUAGUACUGGGACUCUAACCAUAGGCCAUGAAUCUGGUCUUGGGACACUGUCAGGUGGGCAGUUUGACUGGGGCGGUCGCCUCCCAAAAGGUAACGGAGGCGCUCAAAGGUUCUCUCAGUACGGUCGGAAAUCGUACGUAGAGUGUAAAGGCAAAAGAGAGCUUGAUUGCAAGACAUACAGGUCGAGCAAGGAUGAAAAUCGGACUUAGUGAUCCGGUGGUUCUGCGUGGAAGGGCCAUCGCUCAACGGAUAAAAGCUACCCUGGGGAUAACAGGCUUAUCUCCCCCAAGAGUCCACAUCGACGGGGAGGUUUGGCACCUCGAUGUCGGCUCAUCACAUCCUGGGGCUGUAGUAGGUCCCAAGGGUUGGGCUGUUCGCCCAUUAAAGUGGUACGCGAGCUGGGUUCAGAACGUCGUGAGACAGUUCGGUCCCUAUCCGUCGCAGGCGUAGGAAAUUUGAGAAGACCUGUCCUUAGUACGAGAGGACCGGGAUGGACG
rnacentral:rRNA from 1 species